rnacentral:rRNA from 1 species
AUAUUACUCAGCGGAGGAAAAGAAAACAACCGUGAUUCCCUCAGUGAGCGGCGAGCGAAGAGGGACGGAACUCGAUGCCGAAUCGGGCCUCAAGGGCCUUUGAGUUGUGGCACAAACGCCGCCUUGUGCGUGGUGUGGGAUUGGCGAAAUUCAAUGUGCAAAGCAAACCCAUUGCUGAACGCAACCUUUCAUGUGAGUAUUGAGCCAAAGAAGGUGUCAGCCCAUUGAGCCAAAAACCCGAGCACCUCAUUAGGCGGAACCAAGAGAGUAGCGCUUCUUGGGAGUGAAGCGUCAAGCGGCAGGUAUAUGUCUGCCAAGGUUAAACACAGAGUGGGAAGACCGAUAUCGAACAAGUAGCGUGAGCGAAAGUUUGAAAAGCACUUUGGAAAGAGAGUGACAUAGAACCUGAAGUCGUGACAAUGACACGGAAAGUACCUCCAUUUUACUUGCAACGCCAAAACCAGCCUUACAGCAUCAUCCUCAGCGGGCUUUAGCACCGUCGGGUCCUGGCAUCACGUCAGGCCA